rnacentral:rRNA from 1 species
GACGAACGCUGGCGGCGUGCCUAAUACAUGCAAGUCGAACGCAGUGGGGACGGGUGAGUAACACGUGGGUAACCUCCCAUCAGAGGGGAUAACACUUGGAAACAGGUGCUAAACCGAUACUGAUGGAUGAACCCGCGGUGCAUUAGCUAGUGGGGGAGGUAACGGCUCACCAAGGCCACGAUGCAUAACGGGCCUGAGAGGGGGAUUGGCCACACUGGGACUGAGACACGGCCCAGACUCCUACGGGAGGCAGCAGUGGGGAAUAUUCGGCAAUGGGCGAAAGUCUGACCGAGCCACGCCGCGUGAGUGAAGAAGGCCUUCGGGUUGUAAAGCACUUUCAGCGGGGAGGCGUUACCCGCAGAAGAAGCACCGGCUAACUCCGUGCCAGCAGCCGCGGUAAUAC